UACGUAGGCAGCAAGCGUUGUUCGGAGUUACUGGGCGUAAAGGGUGCGUAGGCGGCUUUUUAAGUUUGGUGUGAAAUCUCCCGGCUCAACUGGGAGGGUGCGCCGAAUACUGAGAGGCUAGAGUGCCGGAGAGGUAAGCGGAAUUCCUGGUGUAGCGGUGAAAUGCGCAGAUAUCAGGAGGAACACCGAUUGCGAAGGCAGCUCGCUGGGACGUAACUGACGCUGAGACGCGAAAGCGUGGGGAGCAAACAGG
rnacentral:rRNA from 1 species